UACGUAGGGGGCAAGCGUUGUCCGGAAUCAUUGGGCGUAAAGCGCGUGUAGGCGGCCAGAAAAGUCCGCUGUGAAAACUCGAGGCUCAACUUCGAGCUGUCGGUGGAAACUUUCUGGCUAGAGUCCGGAAGAGGAGAAUGGAAUUCCUGGUGUAGCGGUGAAAUGCGCAGAUAUCAGGAAGAACACCCGUGGCGAAGGCGGUUCUCUGGGACGGUACUGACGCUGAGACGCGAAAGCGUGGGGAGCGAACGGG
rnacentral:rRNA from 1 species